CACGUCAUACCGCUGAAUUCCCGUCUGCCGCACGGGAAGCGGGGGACCCACGACAACGGGGCGAAUCGCGUACCUGCGCGUAGCGCCGCUCUUUCGGUGCGAGCCCGUCAGCUAACCCCGCAAGCUCGAGAAAGAGGACCG
rnacentral:sRNA from 2 species